rnacentral:rRNA from 1 species
ACGGGGGAUGCAAGCGUUAUCCGGAAUGAUUGGGCGUAAAGGGUCCGCAGGUGGCCCGGUCAGUCCGCUGUCAAAGCCUGGGGCUCAACCCUGGAGAGGCGGCGGAGACCACCGGGCUUGAGUCCGGUAGGGGCAGAGGGAAUUCCCGGUGGAGCGGUGAAAUGCGUAGAGAUCGGGAAGAACGCCAAGGGCGAAGGCACUCUGCUAGGCCUGAUUUCGCGACUGACACUCAGGGACGAGAGCCAGGGGAGCGAAUGGGAUUAGAUACCCCAGUAGUCCUGGCCGUAAACGAUGGAUACCAAGCCCUGCGCGUAUCGACCCGGGCAGGGCUGUAGCUAACGCAUGAAGUAUCCCGCCUGGGGAGUACGCUCGCAAGAGUG